AGUACGAGCAUAGUGCAGAGGUCUUGCUUUCCCUCUCAUUACAUUCCAAGAUUGCACUGCAAAUAAGCGAUUCCUUCACCUCUUUAUAAGCUGCAAUCACCUUGAAAGAGGAAUAGGGUUAAAAUCCGAUCAAGAGUCAGUGAUCUUCAUGGAGUAUCCUUCAGUCUCAAUGGGUCCGACCUUUGGAUCCACGGUCAACUUGUUUGUUUUAAUUAUUCCAGAUUAAUGAUAAUAAUUCCAGCCUUGCUAAACUUCCGUCAAUUUCACGGAGAACUAGAAAAAUUAUUGUUUUAUUUAUAUUAUUUAUCGCCUAUUCCUUGGACUUGAAACUCUAUCAAUUAAAAAUGAAGAGAUGAAAAGGUUAUCGGUUGAUAUAGUUAAUGUCGGGAUUUUAACGCUCCAGAUUUCUCAACGGAAUGCAGGUAUAGUAGUGGAAACGUUUCAAGGAAAUCCAGUGAAAGUAGCUUUUCGUUUUUGCGAGUAGAUCCAAAAAAAACUGGAAAUCCUGAUAAGAACAAUGGAAAAACCUAAUUGAAUAAUUAUAUUAUCAGUCCUUGAUAAGUGAGCAAAGUUUUAAUUAAACCGGAGGUUUCUGAGCUCCGAAAAUCAAGUUCAAAGAUUCUCUUACUCACACACAGUCACAUGGAUACUUAGGCGGAGCAAAAAAGGCGUGUAAAAUUGCAUUAUCAGCAAUGAUACUAUUGCAAUUGGAUGUUAUUAUCAUGCGAUAAUAAGCGAUGACAUUGAUAUGAUGUUUCCGGAAAGUUUGCUGUUUUUUGUUAUGCAAGGACAGUCGAUCAAUGUCGACAAUUUCGGACACUCGGGAUAGUCUGCGGUUGGUGUAAAAUGCCGUUGACUCAAAAUAUAAAAGUAAAAAGAAGAUUGAAGUGGUGAGUUCUAAACCCCGUGGGAAGUUGGAAGUGGAAAAACGAAUCAAUAAAACAGUGAAUUGAGCUGCAGAUUGACGGGUCGAGGUGGGUGCGUCGAGAGCUAGGCUUGAAGAAUGGCAGGGCAUCCGGUUUCAUGUCGCGGGCACGUGAUGGAUCGCAGAUAAAUGAAGAAUAUUGACUGGAAAUAUUAUAGAUAUUAAAAAGGCAGUACCCGUGACGUUUCCACCUCUGAUAUUUCUUCACCCGUUUAAAUUCAAUCGCUCUCGACAGAUUCGACAGAUCGAGGAACUCAGAGGUUACAUCUGGUAACGAGUGUGUGCGGGAAUGGAAAAAGAGGGAAGAAAGUGAGAAAACAGCGGAGCUAGCAAGAUUGCCUCUUUUCUAAUUUAUAACUACCCGGGUACCGCCUUAACAAUUUACGCUUCUCUAUACACCGUUUUUAUACUCUGGCAGUAUACCGAGAGCCCAUCCGAGGAAACGACAAUCCAACACACGAGGAACAGAGCCUCGAAACACCAAAUUGGCUUCUACUCCUAUCCUACAAUACAAUAAGUAGCCUUUUAAACCUUUUUUAUGUCUUAGACACAUUUAUUCCUUCCCUUUACUCUCUUUGUUCACUCACCAACUCACCUAACCUAGAAAUUUCAGGUCUCGAGUCAAGCCGGAUUAAGACUCGCUGGUAUUUAUUUAAUUUGAUAACCCGCCGUGAGGUUUACGCCGAGGACCUUAACUCGAGAUAUUAUCUCCGGUUAUCCUGAUGGGAGACGGGAGUUCUCUUCUGAAGAAGAAGAAGAAGAACAAGAAGAAGAAGAAAAAGCUAAGUUGUAACCGAUCUUCAUAAAAUGUUUCUGCUUUUAAGAUUCAGAUAACCUCCAAGUUACAACCCGGCUUUCCAUCUCCGUCCGAGAGAUUAAUUAAUGAUGCAAUUCUUACCAAAGGAUCUUAAGGAGAUCCAACUACUCUCUUAGUGUAAAUAAUGGAUAUAAAAAAAUAAUACGCAGAUAUACUUUUUUCUUAAAAUUAAUUAAUAUUUUUGA